rnacentral:rRNA from 1 species
GACGAACGCUGGCGGCGCGCCUAACACAUGCAAGUCGAACGGAGCUGAGAGAAGCUUGCUUUUCUUAGCUUAGUGGCGAACGGGUGAGUAACGCGUGAGUAGCCUGCCCUGGAGUGGGGGACAACAGUUGGAAACGACUGCUAAUACCGCAUAAGCCCACGAUCCGGCAGCGGAUUGAGGGAAAAGGUUCUAUUCGGUUCAGGAUGGACUCGCGUCCAAUUAGCUAGUUGGUGAGGUAACGGCCCACCAAGGCGACGAGUGGUAGCCGGACUGAGAGGUGGAACGGCCACGUUGGGGCUGCGGCACGGCCCCGUCUCCUACGGGAGGCAGCAGUGGGGGGUAUUGCACAAUGGGGCAAAACCUGGUGCCGCGGCGUCGGGUAGAGGAAGAAGGUGUUCGGAUUGUAAAUUCCCGUCGUUAGGGGCGAUAAUGACGGUACCUAACAAGAGAGCACCGGCUAACUACGUG